CAGCAGCCGCGGUAAUACGUAGGUGGCAAGCGUUGUCCGGAAUUAUUGGGCGUAAAGGGCUCGCAGGCGGUUUCUUAAGUCUGAUGUGAAAGCCCCCGGCUCAACCGGGGAGGGUCAUUGGAAACUGGGAAACUUGAGUGCAGAAGAGGAGAGUGGAAUUCCACGUGUAGCGGUGAAAUGCGUAGAGAUGUGGAGGAACACCAGUGGCGAAGGCGACUCUCUGGUCUGUAGCUGACGCUGAGGAGCGAAAGCGUGGGGAGCGAACAGGAUUAGAGACCCCCGUAGUCCCUGUCUCUUAUAC
rnacentral:rRNA from 1 species